rnacentral:tRNA from 1 species
GUCCCGUUGUUCCAAGGGCAGGAUGUCUGGCCUUCACCCAGACGAUGGUGGGUUCGAAUCCCCCACGGGGCA